rnacentral:rRNA from 1 species
UACGAAGGGGACUAGCGUUGUUCGGAAUCACUGGGCGUAAAGCGCACGUAGGCGGAUGUGUCAGUCAGGGGUGAAAUCCCGGGGCUCCACCUCGGAACUGCCUUUGAUACAGCACGUCUCGAGUCCGGAAGAGGUGGGUGGAAUUCCUAGUGUAGAGGUGAAAUUCGUAGAUAUUAGGAAGAACACCGGUGGCGAAGGCGGCCCACUGGUCCGGUACUGACGCUGAGGUGCGAAAGCGUGGGGAGCAAACAGG